AACGGCCGCGGUAUCCUGACCGUGCAAAGGUAGCAUAAUCAUUUGCCUAUUAAUUGUAGGCUAGUAUGAACGGACAAACGCGAACUUAACUGUCUCCUUUAGGCGUAUAAAAAUUUAUAUUUAAGUGAAGAAGCUUAAAUACACUCGCAGGACAAGAAGACCCUAUAGAGCUUUACCAUAAACCUUAAUACUUAAGCUAAUUGGUUCGGUUGGGGCGACCAAGGAACACAAAACAUCCUUAACAAAUAAGAUUUUCUAAUCAUAAAAAUAGAUCCUUAACUAAGAUCACAGAAUCAAGCUACCUUAGGGAUAACAGGCUAAUUCCUCUAGAGAGCCCUUAUUGACAGAGGAGGUUGGCACCUCGAUGUUGGCUUAGGAUUUCUUUGUGACGCAGCAGUCACAACCAGAU
rnacentral:rRNA from 1 species